CACAUCCAGCCGACACACUGGCUCUAAUCCCUGCUCCUUUGACGCACUCAUUUUCUGGUUUUUCACAAAGGCCGACUGUGCUCCCAGCAGCUGCAGCUGCUCAGGGCCCCAGGGAGGCUGUGGGAAGGGUCGCGGGGACGCUGGCAGCUGCGGGAAAAGACUCUGAGCACCUGUCCCUCUCCUCUGGGUGCUCGCCCCUCCCCCGGCCUAUGCAUUUUCCUGCCGAGGAACUUCCAUGUGCCAUGGGUGCAGCCAUAAAGCAACAACAGCAGCAGCAGCAGCAGCAGCAGCAACAAGAACAAGAGCAUCUGCUUUCAGACAGCCACACCCAAGGCCCUCUGUGAGACAACUGGGGCGCAGAGGGCUGGACUCUCGUCCAAGAUCUGAUGACUAGUAAGUGCAGGAGACUCCCCUCCAAGAACCUGGUCCUCUUGGAAGAAGGUAGGAGGAAGUUCACUCUGGCUGUCCUGGUCUUUGUGCAGAAACAAGACAUGGCUCUUUGUCACCAGUGCUUGCUGAGCCUCAGUCCCUUCAUCUCUCCUCCCACUGCCAGGAAGUGGGAACAGAGACUGGUUAAUCACCUGUGUGAUUUGCACCAGGGCAACUGGCCAGGCUGCUUGGCGUCACUGCGAGGCUGUGUGCUGGCUUUGUGGCUACAGAUGGCACAGAUGAUGGAGACGUGGCACCGACCUGUUCCCUGGAUGCCGAGAGGCAAAGAAUUCAGCUCUGGACUGCAGAAGUCCAACGUCAACCAAGAGAAGCACCGAUGUAAAGAGACGGGGAGCCCAGGGGGAGGAGUCACAAGGCACACGUGAGGUUCUUCAUGUCACUGCUGGGCCGAGUCAGGAGGGGCCGGGUCUCACUGGGGGGACCACAGCCUGGGGAUCUGAUGGACCCCUCCAGCUUUCUCUUCCUCCCCUAGGAACAAGGACACAGAUUUCAUGGUUCACGUAGAGCUACGUGAUCAGCCUGGUGAAAGUGCCAACAGGGUUUAGAAUGCUUCUUAUGUAUUGUCCCUCACUCUCCAAAUGUAAGUUUUUACAGCUUUCUGUAAAUGGGAUUGGAACAUUGUCAAUGCUCAGUGAUCUGAGGACACAGCAUCAAUUGAUAAUGAUAAAAGAAAAAAAUCAAUCAGGACCCUUAUAAAACCCUGGGGAAAUCAACCCAAGUGGAAAACUAUACAUUUUGUGCAGAGGCUUAAAAGAAGGGAAAAUUAUGGCUUUAUUGGAUCUUCCCUACAUUCUGCAAGCAUCGAACAGGCCUGUGUAAUUUAUUUUGUGAGGCUACCGGGUAAGCCUGUGUGAGACGCAGUGAGGGCUCACCAUGAAGUGGGUCAGUAAUUCUCCUUCUGUUUUGCUGCAUGGACACAAAUGAUAAUGAUUCACCCAGUUAUGGGGAGAAAUGACCAAGGCAACCCGAGGCCUUGGGAUGGGGAGCCGCUGCAAUUGCAUGUGGACCAUGUGAUGUUUCUUCCUCUUUUCUAAAGGUAACCUUGUCCCCUUCCUUUAUCUAAGUCCUGGGCUGCCUUGUGCGGUCCAUCACGGUAAUUAUUUGUCCUACUCCAGGCACUUUUUGGGGGAUUUGUGCAGAUGGGUGUUUUUUGUUUGUUGUGUUGUUAGUUUUUUGUUGUUGUUUUUGUUGUUGUUGUUGUUGUUUUUAGGGAAGGCUGAGUUUAGGAUUGACUGAGAAGGGGCAGGUGAGAAGGAGUGGCACAUACAAGGAGAGUUAGAUGGAGUCUCUGAGACAAAGCCAAACUGAGACAGAAAGCACUUUGGAUCCAGCCUCCCUGGUCCUAUCUCCAAGCCUGGGCAGUGGGUCUAUGCAUGUGAGUCAACCCAGUUGGCUGAGUUACUGGAGAGAGAGAUGAGGCUGGGCCAUAGGAUGUGGCAUUGGAGGCCCCUGAGCUGCAGUUCUGUAGAACAAAGCAGGGGCACACCUGUCCUGCCAGGUAUUCCUGAUCCUGUCCAGGGGCAGGAGUGUCUGAGGGACCAGAUGUGGAAGAAAGGAGGCCCUGCUUCAGUUUUAUGAGGUAUAAGUCCAGCUUGCUGCAAACACCUGGCAAAGAACAAAGGAGAGGGGGCUGGUGGCCACGGAGCUGGGGGUUUAAGAACCACACAGCAGGCCAAUGACCAUAGCAACAGCUGAGGGCUGGAUUGGCCAGAGCACAGCACAGCUUUCAUGACUUUCUUUCUUUCUGGUGAACUUGACUGGUGCCUGGAUGGUGAAUGAGCUCUUGGAUUCUUUGACCCAUAAGGGAGGCGGUGGGAUUCUUAGAAAAGGAAAAAAAAUGUUCUUACAGAAUAAGAAGAAGGCUAGAACCACUUGAUUUUAAGAAUAAAGGUUCAGGGAAUUGCCCUUGUGAAUCAGCAGGUUAAGAAUCUGACUAAUGGAGUUCCCGUCGUGGCUCAGUGGUUAACGAAUCCGACUGGGAACCAGGAGGUUGCAGGUUCGAUCCCUGGCUAUGCUCAGUGGGUUAAGGAUCCGGUGUUGCUGUGAGCUGUGGUGUGGGUUGCGGGUGCAGCUUGGAUCUGGCAUGGUUGUGGCUGUGGCAUAGGCUGGUGGCUACAGCUCCGAUUGGACCCCUAGCCUAGAAACCUCCCUAUGCCAUGGGAGCGGGCCUAGAAAAGACAAAAAAAAAAAAAAAAAAAAAAAAAAAA
rnacentral:lncRNA from 1 species